rnacentral:rRNA from 1 species
AUUGAACGCUGGCGGCAGGCCUAACACAUGCAAGUCGAACGGUAACAGGAAGAAGCUUGCUUCUUUGCUGACGAGUGGCGGACGGGUGAGUAAUGUCUGGGAAACUGCCUGAUGGAGGGGGAUAACUACUGAAAACGGUAGCUAAUACCGCAUAACGUCGCAAGACCAAAGAGGGGGACCUUCGGGCCUCUUGCCAUCGGAUGUGCCCAGAUGGGAUUAGCUAGUAGGUGGGGUAACGGCUCACCUAGGCGACGAUCCCUAGCUGGUCUGAGAGGAUGACCAGCCACACUGGAACUGAGACACGGUCCAGACUCCUACGGGAGGCAGCAGUGGGGAAUAUUGCACAAUGGGCGCAAGCCUGAUGCAGCCAUGCCGCGUGUAUGAAGAAGGCCUUCGGGUUGUAAAGUACUUUCAGCGGGGAGGAAGGGAGUAAAGUUAAUACCUUUGCUCAUUGACGUUACCCGCAGAAGAAGCACCGGCUAACUCCGUG